rnacentral:tmRNA from 1 species
GGGGCUGAUUCUGGAUUCGACGGGAUUUGCGAAACCCAAGGUGCAUGCCGAGGGGCGGUUGGCCUCGUAAAAAGCCGCAAAAAAUAGUCGCAAACGACGAAAACUACGCUUUAGCAGCUUAAUAACCUGCUUAGAGCCCUCUCUCCCUAGCCUCCGCUCUUAGGACGGGGAUCAAGAGAGGUCAAACCCAAAAGAGAUCGCGUAGAAGCCCUGCCUGGGGUUGAAGCGUUAAAACUUAAUCAGGCUAGUUUGUUAGUGGCGUGUCCGUCCGCAGCUGGCAAGCGAAUGUAAAGACUGACUAAGCAUGUAGUACCGAGGAUGUAGGAAUUUCGGACGCGGGUUCAACUCCCGCCAGCUCCACCA